rnacentral:antisense_RNA from 1 species
CUUGACCGACCCCAACCACAGCGGCUCCGAGCGGUUCUGCCCGUAGGUGGCCAGCAACGCCUGCGCCUC